UACGUGAGGGGCAAGCGUUGUCCGGAAUCAUUGGCGUAAGAGCGUGUAGGCGGCCCGUAAGUCCGCUGUGAAAGUCCAGGGCUCAACCCUGGGAUGCCGGUGGAUACUGUCGGGCUCGAGCACAGUAGAGGCAGGUGGAAUUCCCGGGUGUAGCGGUGGAAUGCGCAGAUAUCAGGAGGAACACCGGUGGCGAAGGCGGGUCUCUGGGCAGUGAACUGACGGCUGAGGAGCGAAAGCGUGGGAGCGAACAGG
rnacentral:rRNA from 1 species